CGGACUCGAAGAACCCGGGGUCGGUGGAGACGGCGGCAAUGGGUCAAGCGUCUGAUUUGUCGGGCGAGAACGAGAAACUGAAGAAGGAGAACGAGAAUUUGAGCUCGGAGCUGGCGCAGACGAAGAAGCAAUGCGACGAGCUCGUGGGAUUCCUGAUGGAUUACCUGAAAGUGGGGCCCGAUCAGAUCAAUCGCAUCAUGCGGCAAGGAAGCUAUGUGCCCACCCGUGAUGAAGAUGAAGAUGAAGAUGAUGAUCUCGAUUUUGAUCGUGAUGAGAAUGACGCUGCUGAUGAUGACGAUGACGACGGAAAACAAAAGGAGGGCUUGAAGCUGUUUGGAGUUUGGGUGAAAGGGAACGAGAAGAAGAAGAGUAAGAGAACGGAGCGAGAUGAGAAAUUUGGGGUUGGUAUUGGUG
rnacentral:lncRNA from 1 species